rnacentral:lncRNA from 10 species
GCGCUGCUGUCACCCCGGCCGCGCCCCCCAACUUUCUGCACAGUCGCGGAGCUGGAAGUUUCCGGGCUUCGCGGACACGCUGGGCUGGGUUUCAGUCGCGGCUCCGAGGUUGGCAACAAAGAGGGAAAGAAGGAGGAAAAGCAGGCCGGGGAGGGGAGGAAGAGAACCGCGCGGAGGCCGCGGCGCCGAGAGCCCCAGAACUUCCAAUUCUACCCAGAAGCUUUUUUCGUCGUGUUUUUCUCUUAGGUAAACAAGCAAGUUCCACGCCCCAGUCCUGCUGGGGCCUUCGCCAGCCACCGCUCUGGGCUCAUCUCCCGGCGCCUCCUCGGGGCACCUGAGCGUUUUAAGCCCCACUGCCAAGUGUUUUGGACACAGGUUUUUUUGCGGGGUGGUGAGGUUGGGCACAAGAUGCUUCCUAAAAGGUUGUUGGCACGCAGACCAUGGCCCCAGUGACGGAGCGGUAGGCAGGGGCUUGAGGAACACGCUGUCUUUGUCUCGUCCCCAAAGCACCCGGCCGUGGGUCACCCGUGAUCCCUGGAGUGGAGGGACUGUUGUGACCCCUGGUGCUCCAGGAGAAGGGGUUCCAUGCUGGGUCCCGGGCCCAGGCCCACGGUGCCCUCAGCCUGCAGUUCUCCACCUUGCGGAAUGAUUUGCUGGCCCGGCCCAGCUCCCCGGCACCACCAUUUUCUGCCCUCUUUUCCCUGCCUGGCUUCAAACCCUCCCAGGCAAGGGUCCCGAGGAGACACCUGGGCUGGGGGAGGCAACUGAGUGGCCCCAGGCCUGGGAAUCUGCAAAAGUGGCCAAGCCACAUCUCUCGAGACUGCAAGGGCCCUGGAGGCGCUGGGAGGCACAGAUCUGGCUGCCAGCUGGGCCUGAGGCCUCCCUUUGUCCGUCCUUCCUGUUCUUCCUCACCAGACAUGAUCCUCUCUGAGGUUGGUCCUGGGCUUCCAUACGUGAUUCAUGGAAGAGGUCUCAGCCCCAAGAGCCCCUGAGGGUACUGUCCACUCCCCCUGGAAACUUCCAGAACCUGACGUGGGGCUGAAGACAUAGAGGUAAUGGGGAUGGGCUGGUGGGGCGCUGGCUGGGACAAUGUGUGGAGCCCUUGUUUUCAGAGCUACAGAUGCUUGUCAGCUGACAGUUCGUUUCCAGCAUCCACAGUGGACCUCCUUUGGGGGAGCAUUUACCUGCCAAUGAACCCCAAGAUCCUUUCUCAGAGGCGGCGGGAUGAAGUUUUCCUUUUUUUUUUUUUUAGUUAAUAUAUUUUAUUUAAACCAAUAUAUCCAAAAUAUUAUCAGUUCAACAUACGAUCAAGAUAAAGAUUAAUGAGAUACUUUACAUUUUCAUACUAAAUCUUUUUUUAAAUUUUUGUGAGUACAUAGUAGGUAUAAACAUUUAGGGAUGAAGUUUCUUACUGUGUUUUCCCAGUAACAAGCACUGGCAUCAGCUGUCAUGAUUUCUCCCCAAGGCCUAGGAUGGUCAGCCUCGCACGCUCCACAGCAGAGUGACUGAAGCUCUAUCGAGGUGUGGCACGAGCGUGUUGUCAUUUCAAGAGAAUCUGCAGCCUCCCUGGUUUUUAAUGAAAGCUCCUAUGCAGGGCCUGGCCCUUUCCUGGGGAGGGAAGGCUGGCUGUGUCUCCCGCUGCAUCCUCACUGGGAACUUCAUUCCUGAGCUGCGACCGCUAUUUUUUGGAUUGGAAAAUGCCUUGGGAACGGCUCAUCUUCCUGCGGCUUGAGCCCAUUUGUUUUCUGACUGGUGGUCACUGGUGAUUAGAGUGUGUCCCAAAGGGAACCGUCACCUUAGUUCUAUCAUACACUAUCAAUAACUUGUCCAGGGCUGACUUUGUGGCUGUGUGGCUUGCCCAGUGGUAGAGGGCCGGUGUGCAGAAGGGCCCCACACUCAAUGUUUGGCUGUCCCCGGUCUUAAAAUUCUUAGUCAUUCUUGAACAAGGGAACCCAUAUUUUCAUUUUGUUCUAGGCUCUGAGAGUUACAUAAUUGAUUCUGACUUUGGCUGUUGGUCAACAGUGUCAUAAGGUAAAAUAAGGCUGUUGUAGAAUCUGCUCAGCCAGGGAGGGGAAAGGAGUCGGCAAUCAGGUCUCCUCCUGGGCACCUUUGUGAGGCCAGCUGGCGAGAGUGGGGGGUGACACUGAGGUCCCAGCAGCUCCAAAUGCAGGCAGAGCCCUGUCCUCAGAGAAGGUCACAGCCUAGCCAAGCCCAGCCAGGUGGAUGGGCCCACGGAACGCACAGGAACCUGGAACGGAGGUUGAAAGCAGGAAGCACAGUCUGUGACUCCCCAGCCCACUCUGCAUUCGACCACUUGGGGCCCAGAAGCUUCAGGAAAGGUGCACAAGGUCACUGGGUCCCAGUACUCCCAACAGGAAGGUCUGGUCCAGGGACAGGGCUCUUCCCGACUCCCCUUAGCCACACGCACCAGAAGUUCUGCAGUGCCCAGUGGGCAUAGCAGUCCCCAAGAAUGACCCAGCACUGAAGCUGAGCCAAAGAACUUGGGGAGCGAGCCACACCCCCUCACUCCCUCUUCGCCUGCUCCAGACUUGCCAGGCGGUUGCUUUUCGUGGGAACCGGGAUGUCCUCACCACCCUGUCCAGGGCCCAGCCCCAUGUCCCUGGCCUGCUACAGCUGGAAAAAAAAAAGAGAGAUGUUUGUUUUUAUUUGUUUAUAAAAAGAAAAGUGUUAUAUAUAUAACAUAUUAUACCUCAUGAAUACAUACAAUUAUUUGUCAAUUAACAAUAAAGAAAAAUACAGCAAGCAAAAAAGACUCUCUUCCACAAAAAUAGUGUUCAUUACAGAAAAGUACAAAAAAAAAAAAAAA